AACGAACGCUGGCGGCAUGCCUAACACAUGCAAGUCGAACGAGACCUUCGGGUCUAGUGGCGCACGGGUGCGUAACGCGUCGGAACCUUCCCUCAGGGUCGGAAUAACUCCCCGAAAGGGGUGCUAAUACCGGAUAAUGUCUUCGGACCAAUGAUUUAUCGCCUUUGGAUGGGCCCGCGUUGGAUUAGCUAGUUGGUAGGGUAAAAGCCUACCAAGGCGACGAUCCAUAGCUGGUCUGAGAGGAUGAUCAGCCACACUGGGACUGAGACACGGCCCAGACUCCUACGGGAGGCAGCAGUGGGGAAUAUUGGACAAUGGGCGAAAGCCUGAUCCAGCAAUGCCGCGUGAGUGAUGAAGGCCUUAGGGUUGUAAAGCUCUUUUAACCGGGAUGAUAAUGACAGUACCGGGAGAAUAAGCUCCGGCUAACUCCGUG
rnacentral:rRNA from 1 species